rnacentral:rRNA from 1 species
UACGGGGGGGGCAAGCGUUGUUCGGAAUUACUGGGCGUAAAGGGCUCGUAGGCGGCCAACUAAGUCGGAUGUGAAAUCCCCAGGCUUAACCUGGGAACUGCAUCCGAUACUGGAUGGCUUGAAUCCGGGAGAGGGAUGCGGAAUUCCAGGUGUAGCGGUGAAAUGCGUAGAUAUCUGGAGGAACACCGAUGGCGAAGGCAGGUCUCUGGGCAUUAACUGACGCUGAGGAGCGAAAGCAUGGGGAGCGAACAGGG